CCCCCCCCCCGCCUUAUUUCCGGAGCCGGGACCAGCGGCGGAGCGGCGGCGGCUGCUCGGGCACCGGCUUCAUCCCGCUCCUGUCCCCGGGGCUGGCUCCCCGCCUCGGAGCUCGGCUGCCCGCCCAGGAGGAGCGCUGCUCCGAGGAGGAGGAGGAGGAAGGAAGGAAGAGGGAGAGAAGGAAGAAGAAAGGGCUUUUUUCCGUGGCUUCGUGGAUGCUCUACUUUUCCUGGAAAUGCAAAAGAUUAUGCAUAUUUCUGUCUUCCUGGCGCCUGUGGUUUGGGGACUGAUCUGGGGGGUGGAUUCUAACAGCAUCCAGAUCGGGGGGCUGUUCCCGAGGGGCGCCGACCAGGAGUACAGUGCGUUUCGGGUAGGCAUGGUUCAGUUUUCCACCUCGGAGUUCAGGCUCACGCCGCACAUCGACAACCUGGAGGUCGCCAACAGCUUCGCCGUCACCAACGCCUUCUGCUCCCAGUUUUCAAGAGGAGUCUUUGCUAUUUUUGGAUUCUAUGACAAGAAGUCUGUAAAUACCAUAACAUCAUUCUGUGGGACUCUUCAUGUCUCCUUCAUAACUCCGAGCUUUCCAACAGAUGGAACACAUCCAUUUGUCAUUCAGAUGAGACCUGACCUCAAAGGAGCUCUUCUUAGCUUGAUCGAAUACUAUCAGUGGACCAAGUUUGCAUAUUUGUAUGACAGCGACAGAGGCUUAUCAACAUUGCAAGCUGUGCUGGAUUCUGCAGCUGAAAAGAAAUGGCAAGUGACUGCUAUCAACGUAGGAAAUAUUAACAAUGACAGAAAAGAUGAAACUUACCGUUCACUAUUUCAAGAUCUAGAGGUAAAAAAGGAAAGGCGAGUGAUUUUGGACUGUGAGCGUGAUAAAGUCAACGACAUUGUUGAUCAGGUUAUCACAAUCGGUAAGCAUGUUAAAGGAUACCAUUAUAUCAUUGCAAAUCUGGGAUUUACUGAUGGAGAUUUAUCCAAAAUUCAGUUUGGAGGAGCUAAUGUCUCAGGAUUUCAGAUAGUUGACUAUGAUGAUCCUUUGGUGUCAAAAUUUAUACAACGUUGGUCAACACUAGAGGAAAAAGAAUAUCCCGGUGCACACACUAGUACAAUUAAGUAUACAUCUGCUCUGACCUAUGAUGCUGUUCAAGUGAUGACAGAAGCUUUCCGUAAUUUGCGUAAACAGAGGAUUGAGAUCUCCAGAAGAGGAAAUGCUGGAGAUUGUCUUGCAAAUCCAGCUGUACCCUGGGGUCAUGGUGUAGAAAUAGAAAGGGCAUUGAAACAGGUUCAGGUGGAAGGUCUAACAGGGAAUAUAAAAUUUGAUCAGAAUGGAAAAAGAAUCAAUUUUACGAUAAACGUCAUGGAACUCAAAAGUACUGGUCCUCGGAAGAUUGGAUAUUGGAGUGAAGUGGACAAAAUGGUUGUGAAUCCGCUUGAUGGCCCUCUUGGAAAUGAAUCUUCAGGACUAGAGAAUAAGACUAUUAUUGUCACCACUAUUUUGGAGUCCCCAUAUGUUAUGAUGAAGAAAAAUCAUGAAAUGCUUGAAGGAAAUGAUCGAUAUGAGGGCUACUGUGUGGACCUAGCUACAGAAAUUGCUAAGCAUUGUGGAUUCAAGUAUAAGCUCACAAUUGUGGGGGAUGGCAAGUAUGGGGCCAGGGAUGCAGACACGAAAAUCUGGAAUGGGAUGGUUGGAGAACUUGUUUAUGGGAAAGCCGAUAUUGCAAUCGCUCCAUUAACUAUAACAUUGGUGAGAGAAGAGGUGAUUGACUUCUCAAAGCCGUUUAUGAGUCUGGGGAUAUCCAUAAUGAUCAAGAAGCCUCAGAAGUCCAAGCCAGGAGUGUUUUCAUUUCUUGAUCCAUUAGCAUAUGAAAUCUGGAUGUGCAUUGUUUUUGCCUACAUUGGGGUCAGUGUAGUUUUAUUCCUGGUCAGCAGAUUUAGCCCAUACGAGUGGCACACUGAGGAAUUUGAAGAUGGAAGAGAAACGCAAACUAAUGAAUCAACUAAUGAAUUUGGGAUAUUUAAUAGUCUCUGGUUUUCCCUGGGUGCCUUUAUGCAGCAAGGAUGCGAUAUUUCGCCAAGGUUGGUUACUCGCCCAUUUCAACUUUGUGCGUUUUUGGUCUCAGCCAGAGGAGGUUCAUGGUGCAUAUAUUUUCACUCGGAAAGAAAUCAUUGCUAUAGUUUAUUUCUUCCAUACCAAAAUCACAAAAGUCCUUGAAAUAAAGACAGUUCUCUCUGACAAAAGGUAAUGUCUUAAUGUCAAUCAUGUAUUUGCCAAGUGAAGUUGUAUACACCAUGUAGAGACUGUAAAAUGCAUAAGGUUCAAAUCAUUCCAUGCCGUCUUGGAGGGGUACCGUGUUUUUGCUGCAUAUUCCCAUUUUACAGUUGACAUUGCAUUUGGUUCACAGCAACUGUAAUGGGAAAAAAGGGUAAUGUACUAGUCGUGAACUACACAGGCAUCACUUUACCACUAAAACUCACUACAUAUCAUAACACAGUUAUUAAUCCAGUGUUUUUUCUGUAGGAGAGCCUUGAGUUGAAAUAGAAGUCAUGUGAUGGCUCUAAUUUAUUGUGAAUAGUUGCAAAAUGUUGCUGUUUUUCUAUGGCCUAGUUUUAUAUAAGUCACAAAGGAAGUUGCUAAAAUGAAUUUGAAGCUCCAGUUUAUAAAUGCUUAAUUCCUCAUGGAUUUUCACCUACCUUAUUAGGGACAACUCUGAAGCACUUAAGUUAAUUCCUUUGCAGCUCAUUAAAUAUUCUAUUUCCCUUGUGCGCAAGUGGACCUAGCCUUGAUUCAGCAAAGUGAUAAGUAGGUAGAUAAAUAACUACUUGCUGCUUGAAGGAACUGUAGUAAGAAGUGAAAUAGGGCAACUGGAUUUAAGGAAAAAAAGACCUUCCUAACUAUACCAAGCAAGUUAACUUUCUUCUCAAUGUCCUAAAGUAAAACAGGACAUAGUUCAAUUUCCAGUGAGUCUUGUGGCUGUUGUGCAGAUAAAUCAGAUGGAAGGAGCGUCUUAUAUCCAAGUCUUUCAUCUUGAAAGGCAAUGACAGAUUUUCAAGCUCUGCUGCUGCAGACAUAGCAGAGCACUUAGUCUGUGAGAGAACUUCAUAUAUAUCUUACACAGUGAAAGAUGGCUGCGGUUAUGGUGAAAGACAUGAUAGAUUUGGCAUGUAACACAUUAAGAACUGUAUGCAAGAAAUGAGAUGGUGAAGAGAGAUCAAAUUUACUUUGGGUUUUUGUAUUGAUUAUAUACUUUACAAGUUUAGUUGUCUACAAAGUUCUCUAUUAGCUGCAAAAUUAUUUUUAUUGAAUCAAGGCCAUAGUUGAAUUACAAUAUUUUUUUUCAUUUUACUGACUAUUAAAGCAUGACAGUUGUGCAUUGUUUGAUAACAUUUAAAAGGUGUUGCAAGAAUAAUGAUAGUAAAUGGCCAUCAUAAAAGGUGCGUGAAACUGAAAUUAUUUUGGAGAUUCAAGUGGCAGAUUUAUUGUCAGUGAAGUGUUUAACAGCACUUUAUUUCAUUACAAACACAUUUUGAGGAAAGCAUUUAGUUUGUAUAUUAUCUCAGUUUAUUAUGAAAAUAUAAAAGGGCUGCAAACACCUUAGUUAUUUUUGUUCUUGCACCAAAACUCUCCCUAGGGAAUAUGAACUCCCUGCAAAUGAAUUUCAGUAAAUGUGGUUAGGAAUCUCUUCAAACAUUAGAAAAAUAUUUGUAGUUGUAUUAUUUCUCUAAUACGGGUGACUACCCUUGUAAGAAUUGUAGAAUUACCAAGUAGCUAGGGCUUCCUGACUCUGAAAUAGAAGUGGUGCUGAGUAAGACAGGACCAUCUGGAAAUUGGUCUGCAAAAAAAAUUCCCAACGUUGCCAUUGUGGAUGGCACAGAGGAGACAAUGGUAAUAUACAGCAAAGUUUUCCUGAUACUUUUUAUAUGGGAUUGUGCUCUCAGUACUAAUAUAUAAUACCUUUCUAAGUGCAAAACAUGGUGAACAAAUCAAGGUAAUUACGCACAAAAAAUUGGUUUAGUAUUUAAUGAUCUGAUGUAUGAGGUACUUAUACAAGUGUGGGUUCAUGCUAGCGUGUAAUUAUACAACUUUGUAUUUUUUUUCAAAAUACACACAAAAAAAGAAAUGGUUUAUUUAACUGGGACAGACCUUAUCAGAAAAUUCUGAAUACAAAGGGCACCACAAAACUUUUACUUACAAAAUGUUAUGUGGGAGCAUAAUGUCUAUAUUGGUAUUGAGCUUAUUCUUGCUUUACAAGGUCAGUAGCAGUUUUGUUUGAUUACACAUCAUGGGUUUUUAAGACUAUGAAUUAUCAUUUAUAGUAGAUAUCAAUACAAUAAAAAGUACCAUAAAAUUAGCAGGUAUUAAAUGCACAGUCAUAGAUUUUACCUUGCAAAUGUAUAUUUAUCGUAUAAUUCAGUCUUUGAAUUGUAGAAUUAUAUUUUCAGAUUACCUCCAUGUCAAAAUAAGAUAUUUUUUUUCAAAGGUGACAGAAAGCAUGUUUACAGAACACAUUACAAUCUAGAAAGCACUUGAAAUAAUGUCUUUUCUGUAGCCCUUUUUAAUAACAUAUUCUGGACCCAUAUCUAACUUGACUUUCAUGUAGUGGAGUGACUUAGUGAGUCUAUAGUGACAUGGAAUAAAUCUUUUCAUGUCUGAAUUACCACAGAAGUAUUUUACAAUGACAGUUAGUGAAAAUGACUUGUCCAGAAUCGGUUCCAUUUACUUUUGUUCCCAGUUUAAUAAAUCAGCUUUACAUGACUACUGUGUUUAAAAUUAAAGCAUACUUUUGAAAUGCAUAUAGAUAAUUACACCUAUACUCUAUAUCUUGCUAUAUGUAUAGUGUCAGAAGUUUGACAUCUCAUUCACAAUACUGUAAGCUGGGUGAAUGAUUUGUGAUUUGUUUACUUAAUAGGUAGAGGAGAUACGUCAGUACAUACCUAAGCUACUGCAAUGCUAGACUUUUAACUACAUGUACAUUUCUGCCAAAUAAUUAAGUACAUCUCCAAAGAUUAUGUACUCCUUCCUAUAAUGUCUUGUUUGGAAACAAAGUAGUGAGUAAUUUCAAACUUUAAAAGAUCAUUCAAAAAUGGUAAGUUUGACAAAGAUGGCAGUAUCAAUAAUUCUAUCAGCUUUCCAGUAUUGACAAUCAGUGAAUUUCUCUAGUUAUAUACUGUUUUAUAUAUUUUCUUGAGUUCUCUUCUCUUCUUUCUUCUUGAGCAGGAGAUGCAAAACAAAGAUCCAUAAGAGCCCACCUGCUGCAGUUAGAAACAUCAUAUUAUAUAAAAAUAUACUUUCUUUACCAUUUCUCGUUAUUAUCAGUUUGCUUGUUUCAUGUCCAGUCCUCAGUUUGUUAAAUGCUUGUAUAUUUCAAAAGUCGUGUGCACUUUUUAGCUUAUGGAUAUUCCCUGGGCCAGUUUUUAUUGCAAAUAAUGCUAUUUAUUUCUCAGUGUAGAUUGUCCACAGCAGCAUAACACAUUGUUUUGUGAAAAUCAGUCUUUGUCUGAAUGUCUUAUGAAAACAAGCAAGCUAAAGAGACUAAAUUUUUAAGUACAUACUGAUUUAUCUGAAAGCUGUUUCACUGUUUUUGUAUUAUUCUCUUCGUGUCACAUAAAUUCACAUCAGAGAGAAUAACAAGCUUAUGUGUUAAUAUAGCACAUUGAGAUGAGCAGUUUAAUUUCAGAGUUUUCAGGACAUUGAAGAACAGGAUCACUAAAUUCUCCCUAAAGUAAAUGCUGGAGUCCUGAUUUCGGCAAAAAUCCAGAUGUAGUGGAUGGAGUAUGCAUUGAUUUCCCAUCUGAUUAGUAUGCAGAGCUGCACUACAAGAUAGCUUGAAAUGUCUCCCUAUAGUAAAAUGCAUCAUUUGCAUAAAACUGAUAACAUGUGUUCCUUUUUAGGACUUUCAUUUCACUUUACAAAUCCAUUUCAUACUUGUUAUUAGAUCCCUGUCUGGGCGCAUUGUUGGAGGUGUGUGGUGGUUCUUUACCCUCAUCAUAAUCUCAUCCUACACGGCUAACUUAGCUGCC